GACGAACGCGGGCGGCGUGCUUAAUACAUGCAAGUGGGACGCAAGGGAACACACUGUGCUUGCACACCGUGUUUUCUUGAGUCGCGAACGGGUGAGUAACGCGUAGGUAACCUGCCUAUUAGCGGGGGAUAACUAUUGGAAACGAUAGCUAAUACCGCAUAAUAUUAAUUAUUGCAUGAUAAUUGAUUGAAAGAUGCAAGCGCAUCACUAGUAGAUGGACCUGCGUUGUAUUAGCUAGUUGGUAAGGUAAGAGCUUACCAAGGCGACGAUACAUAGCCGACCUGAGAGGGUGAUCGGCCACACUGGGACUGAGACACGGCCCAGACUCCUACGGGAGGCAGCAGUAGGGAAUCUUCGGCAAUGGACGAAAGUCUGACCGAGCAACGCCGCGUGAGUGAAGAAGGUUUUCGGAUCGUAAAGCUCUGUUGUAAGUCAAGAACGUGUGUGAGAGUGGAAAGUUCACACAGUGACGGAGCUACCAGAAAGGCGC
rnacentral:rRNA from 1 species